AAAAAUGCAUAUUAAAAUGAUAAUAAUUAUUAUUAUUAAUAAUGUGCUCAGUAGCCUAUCGGAUCCGGCCCUUGCUUACCAAAAAGCAUUGGACCGGGUUCGAGCCCGGCGUACACCGAUGAAUAUUUUCAAUAUUUAAGUGUGUUAUACUGCUCAGCC